CGAAGGGGCUAGCGUUGUUCGGAAUUACUGGGCGUAAAGGGCGCGUAGGCGGCUUUUCAAGUCAGGCGUGAAAUCCCCGGGCUUAACCUGGGAACUGCGCUUGAGACUGGAAGGCUUGAGUUCGGGAGAGGUGAGUGGAAUUCCCAGUGUAGAGGUGAAAAUUCGUAGAUAUUGGGAAAGAACACCAGCGGCGAAAGGCGGCUCACUGGACCGAUACUGACGCUGAGGCGCGAAAAGCGUGGGGAGCAAAACAGGAUU
rnacentral:rRNA from 1 species